UAAAAUGAAGCAAUUAUUGCAUUUUAUUUACACUAAAAAGUUAAUCUAAUUUUAUAGAUCAUUUUAA
rnacentral:tRNA from 1 species